AGCCCUGCUGCCCCCUGCCCCCCCCCCCCCCNCAGCUGAGGUCAUCACGACCUUCCCCUUGGGGACAUGGCACUCCCACUCAGGCAGGAGGCUCCCCUGGGGAGCGAUCCUCAAUACCGGGGUACAACCACUCCCAUGAGCCAUGGUCCACUACCUGGAUCCCCGUCCUGGUCCUUUACUGGUUCAAAUGGCUAUUGCAGGGAACUGAGGCUGUCACUCUCGGUCCUGGGUGACCUGGGUUCAGAGCAACCAGGUCUACGGAUGUGUCCACACCUUCUCAGCCAGAAGAGCCCAGACGCUCUGGUUGCUUCCAGGCGCCUCCAUAGUCACACCCGCCACUCCUCAGGGAGCCGGGUCUUCCCGGGCCCUGAACACCGUGAUUGUUGACCCUUCUCCUUGCUUGGUCCAUUCACUUCUGCAGGUGUGGAUCCUGUCCCUCUUUCAAGGUGAAAAUCAAAUGCUUCCUCUGGUUAAGCCUCCAGAUCACUCCGGGACUCCACCUGUUUCCUGCGGGUUUUGUUGUUGUUGUUUGUUUUAUGCUAAACAACUUUAUUUUCUUUUGGUUUAAGGCUUAGGAGGGGCUCCAUGGUGGUGAAAAAGCUGCCCAGGGGUUAGAGGGAGAGGCUCAGGCCCAACCCCAAGGCCAGGAGAUGCAGAGGAGCCAUCAAAGGCCACGCACUCCAGGGCCUCUAGUUGCUCUUGAGGUCGAGCCUUUCAAGUCUCGCCCAGGCCAGCCUGGGCCCCGACGGCAGAGGUCAGUCAUGUGGUCGCCCCUCUUUUGAUGAGCUUCACCUCCUCGUCAAGGAUGUGGCUCUCCAGAAAGUCACAGAGAUGUGGGUCUGUGUGGGUGGAACCCAAGGCAUGAAGAUCCAGAAGGGCUUGGUUCUGGAUCCUCUCCAGGGCCAAGGCAGCGUCCAUGGUGUCCAGGGUGUCGCCUCCUCCUCUGAGAAGGCUUCAGCAUGUUCUGGAAGAGGGUGUGGCCGCCGCUCUGGUUUUGCCUCAUCAGGAGACACUCAGAGGCCUCGCGCUUUCCCUCGGCCCGGGCCCUCCAGAGCCACAUGGUCCAGUGGAAACAGCAGCCCAGAGAGAGGCAGGUGCAGGAGGAGCGCAGAUGCCAACUGACAGGCCGAUGAGGGCCACCUCCACCUUGGUGGAGUGAUUUUUAUGAAUCCGGGAGUUCAAGGUUGGUCAUCCCAAAGUAGCUACCCCCCAAACCGGUGUUGGCUGGUCCUGGAAGCAGGGGAUAGGCAAGAUGGCCCCAGAGACUGCACAUGGACAUCAGAGUGGAAGCUGGAAGGAGAGGGGGUCCCCUAGUCUGUCCACCCAAGCACCGUUGAAGAAGACAGAUCUAGGCGCCGUGGUUCCUGUUGGCUUGGUGGACGUACAGUUCUUAUGUCCAUCAGCACUCGCCCAGUGCCACCUUACAUCAGGUACCCUUUGAUUAAUGCCCUUUCACUAGAUAAACUCUUUAGGGGCGUUUUAGCCACAAGUAAAGGAAAAAAUAAUAGAGGCUUUAUUUCCCAUAAAUUCCAUUGGUUUUUCAAUGGAGCCAGUCCCUCCUGCUUUGUCACAGUGCCACAUGGGGCAUCCACCAACAAGGUCUUCAUUGUCCAAGGUGGGUCCAGCCAUUACAUCUCAAUUCCAGGCUGCAACAUGGACAAAGAAACAAAGAAAUACUCUUCCCUUUAGGGACACUGCCUGGAACUUACACCUACAUUCCCUUAACCAGACCUCAUGUAGUCACUCAUAGUUACAGAAGGGGUCUCAAAAAUCAGGCUGAUUCCAGCUGGCCAUAGCUGUGGGUCUGUGUGGAUAGAAUCCAAGGCUUGAAGAUCCAGAAGGGCUUGGUUCUGGCUCUUCUCCGGGCCAGUCCUGUUCCUGAAAAUAAAGUGGUGAAUGAAUUCUGGUCAUCUCUGUUACAAAGGGC
rnacentral:lncRNA from 1 species